GUCCCCGUAGUUCAAUUGGAUAGAUUACUGGCCUCCGAAGCCAGGUGUGGCAGUUCGAUUCUGCCCGGGGACGCCA
rnacentral:tRNA from 1 species